GAUGAACGCUAGCUACAGGCUUAACACAUGCAAGUCGAGGGGCAGCGCAGUGUAGCAAUACAUGGGCGGCGACCGGCGCACGGGUGCGUAACGCGUAUCCAACCUUCCCGUUACUCAGGGAUAGCCUUCCGAAAGGGAGAUUAAUACCUGAUGGUGUUGAAAUUCCGCAUGUUAUUUCAACUAAAGAUUUAUCGGUAACGGAUGGGGAUGCGUGACAUUAGGUAGAUGGCGGGGUAACGGCCCACCAUGCCUACGAUGUCUAGGGGUUCUGAGAGGAAGGUCCCCCACACUGGAACUGAGACACGGUCCAGACUCCUACGGGAGGCAGCAGUGAGGAAUAUUGGUCAAUGGCCGGAAGGCUGAACCAGCCAAGUAGCGUGAAGGAUGAAGGUUCUAUGGAUUGUAAACUUCUUUUAUACGGGAAUAAAACCACCUACGUGUAGGUGCUUGUAUGUACCGUAUGAAUAAGCAUCGGCUAACUCCGUG
rnacentral:rRNA from 1 species